UUGAUUCUAUACUCUGAAAACUACACUUUUGAUAUCUGUGCAGCCCAAUCAGAAAAUUUAGCUGACAUUUAAAAAGUGUGUCACUCUGGAGCAGCGCCAUUUCGUGAAUAUUUACGACGGACCUUACUCAACCAGUCCUCUACUGUUAUUAUCGACUAGCGGAUCAGUUAAGCCAUUCUCUGUACGAUCGUCAUCUAACGAAUUGUAUGUGGAAUUCCCAUCUUACCACCAGACAGAUUAUGGCAUUUUAGCUUUUUACACCAGUGUAAACAGCACGGACGAAACAUUCGUUCCAGGCUGUGGUGGUUAUAUUUACGGUGAUGGAGUCAUUCCGAUUCCAAAUUAUGUGGUCAACAACACCGAUAUCUCCGACUGUUUUUGGUACAUCGAAGCAACGACCAAUGAGGAUACUGAUACUGAU